AAUGUGCAACUGCUUAUUAUUAGAUAAGAACUUAACGAGCAUUACUUGACUUCGACCUUGAAUACUACAAAAUGAUGUGCUGCUUGCCUCUAAUAUUUGACCCAAAUAAUAAUAACUGAUGGCACGAAUCUGUUAAAAUUCAAGGAAUGGAAAUGCCACGAAAGACAUUGUUUCCGUAGGAAACCACUUUAUUGUAUUAAGAAAUCAGUUCCAUAAUUCUGCGUAAGUGUUCAUCGAAUAUUGUCUCAGUGGAGGAAUUUGCGGUACUGGCAUGGCUUUGACCAAUGUCUUAAUUUUAAUGGAUGCGUAGUCACUUCAAGUGUGAGAGACAAAACACUGUCUCUUCUGUGUCGCCAGAAUUCAAAAAAUUUCGUCAGUUGAUAUUGAAUUCUGCGUUCUACAUUCCUGCUGAAGUUAAACCUGUUUACAAGAAGGGGGAUGAAGAGAUACCAUCAAACUAUCGACCAGUUUCACUUUUUCCGGCUUUCUCAGAAAUAUAGAUUUAUCAUCAUGCCAAUGAUAACAGUUGUGAUAUAGGAUUUGUCAGGAUACAAUUCAACAAAAAUGUAGAAAUGAGGCAACCAUUGAAUAAGAAACAACUGGUUGUGUGAAGCAAGAUGAAGCAUAUGAGAUCGACUUGAAAGCAAGUCCCGUGGAGAUGGCCAAAUGAGAACAUGCUUCCGGUAUUACAUGCCUACAGCUUCAUUAUUUUAUUCACAAAUUUUUUACCUGACAGGGUUGAAGCUUUGGUGCUUCUUUCUACAUGCAUCCAGAUGGUCCCUAAGAA